rnacentral:rRNA from 1 species
UACGUAGGGUGCAAGCGUUGUCCGGAAUUAUUGGGCGUAAAGAGCUCGUAGGCGGUUUGUCGCGUCGGCUGUGAAAACUCGGGGCUCAACCCCGAGCCUGCAGUCGAUACGGGCAGACUGGAGGUAUGCAGGGGAGAACGGAAUUCCUGGUGUAGCGGUGAAAUGCGCAGAUAUCAGGAGGAACACCGGUGGCGAAGGCGGUUCUCUGGGCAUGUCCUGACGCUGAGGAGCGAAAGUGUGGGGAGCGAACAGG